rnacentral:rRNA from 1 species
CCUACGGGAGGCUGCAGUAGGGAAUAUUGCGCAAUGGACGGAAGUCUGACGCAGCGACGCCGCGUGAGCGAUGAAGGCCUUCGGGUCGUAAAGCUCUGUUGUAAGGGACGAAAGAAUAAGGGAGUAACUGCCCUUAAAGUGACGGUACCUUACCAGCAAGCCCCGGCUAACUACGUGCCAGCAGCCGCGGUAAGACGUAGGGGGCGAGCGUUGUCCGGAAUUACUGGGCGUAAAGAGCACGUAGGCGGGUGUUUAAGUCAGGUGUGAAAGACCGCAGCCUAACUGCGGGGUUGCACUUGAAACUGAAUAUCUUGAGGGCAGGAGAGGUGAGUGGAAUUCCUGGUGUAGCGGUGAAAUGCGUAGAAAUCAGGAGGAACACCAGUGGCGAAGGCGACUGACUGGACUGACCCUGACGCUGAGGUGCGAAAGCGUGGGUAGCAAACAGGAUUAGAUACCCGUGUAGU